CCGUACACAAAAGCGCAUGUGCUGUGAGCUCGAUGAGUAGGGCGGGACACGUGGUAUCCUGUCUGAAUAUGGGGGGACCAUCCUCCAAGGCUAAAUACUCCUGACUGACCGAUAGUGAACCAGUACCGUGAGGGAAAGGCGAAAAGAACCCCGGCGAGGGGAGUGAAAAAGAACCUGAAACCGUGUACGUACAAGCAGUGGGAGCACAGGUUUACCUGUGUGACUGCGUACCUUUUGUAUAAUGGGUCAGCGACUUAUAUUCUGUAGCAAGGUUAACCGAAUAGGGGAGCCGGAGGGAAACCGAGUCUUAAUUGGGCGUUAAGUUGCAGGGUAUAGACCCGAAACCCGGUGAUCUAGCCAUGGGCAGGUUGAAGGUUGGGUAACACUAACUGGAGGACCGAACCGACUAAUGUUGAAAAAUUAGCGGAUGACCUGUGGCUGGGGGUGAAAGGCCAAUCAAACCGGGAGAUAGCUGGUUCUCCCCGAAAGCUAUUUAGGUAGCGCCUCGUGAAUUCAUCUCCGGGGGUAGAGCACUGUUUCGGCUAGGGGGCCAUCCCGGCUUACCAACCCGAUGCAAACUGCGAAUACCGGAGAAUGUUAUCACGGGAGACACACGGCGGGUGCUAACGUCCGUCGUGAAGAGGGAAACAACCCAGACCGCCAGCUAAGGUCCCAAAGUCAUGGUUAAGUGGGAAACGAUGUGGGAAGGCCCAGACAGCCAGGAUGUUGGCUUAGAAGCAGCCAUCAUUUAAAGAAAGCGUAAUAGCUCACUGGUCGAGUCGGCCUGCGCGGAAGAUGUAACGGGGCUAAACCAUGCACCGAAGCUGCGGCAGCGAACGUAUCACCCAAGACAACUUUACGGAGUUGACGAUUGACGGAGCGAAGCGACGUCAAAGCGUUCAUUAAAGUCGAGUUGGCUUAGGGAUACGUUCGUUGGGUAGGGGAGCGUUCUGUAAGCCUGUGAAGGUGUGUCGUGAGGCAUGCUGGAGGUAUCAGAAGUGCGAAUGCUGACAUAAGUAACGAUAAAGCGGGUGAAAAGCCCGCUCGCCGGAAGACCAAGGGUUCCUGUCCAACGUUAAUCGGGGCAGGGUGAGUCGACCCCUAAGGCGAGGCCGAAAGGCGUAGUCGAUGGGAAACGGGUUAAUAUUCCCGUACUUGGUGUUACUGCGAAGGGGGGACGGAGAAGGCUAUGUUGGCCGGGCGACGGUUGUCCCGGUUUAAGCGUGUAGGUGUGUGUUCCAGGUAAAUCCGGUUCACUUUAACACUGAGGCGUGACGACGAGGCACUACGGUGCUGAAGCAACAAAUGCCCUGCUUCCAGGAAAAGCCUCUAAGCAUCAGGUAACACGAAAUCGUACCCCAAACCGACACAGGUGGUCAGGUAGAGAAUACCAAGGCGCUUGAGAGAACUCGGGUGAAGGAACUAGGCAAAAUGGUGCCGUAACUUCGGGAGAAGGCACGCUGACAC
rnacentral:rRNA from 1 species